rnacentral:rRNA from 1 species
GUGCCAGCGGCCGCGGUAAUACCGGCAGCGCAAGUGAUGGCCGAUCUUAUUGGGCCUAAAGCGUCCGUAGCUGGCCAGGCAAGUCCAUCGGGAAAUCCACCCGCUCAACGGGUGGACGGCCGGUGGAACCUGCCAGGCUUGGGACCGGAAGACCCAACGGGUACGUCCAGGGUAGGAGUGAAAUCCCGUAAUCCUGGACGGACCGCCGAUGGCGAAAGCACGUUGGGAAGACGGAUCCGACAGUGAGGGACGAAAGCUAGGGUCUCGAACCGGAUUAGAAACCCCAGUAGUCU